CCUACGGGGGGCAGCAGUGGGGAAUAUUGCACAAUGGGGGAAACCCUGAUGCAGCGACGCCGCGUGAGUGAAGAAGUAAUUCGUUACGUAAAGCUCUAUCAGCAGGGAAGAAAUACUGACCUUACGGUCAGCAGACGGUACCUGAGUAAGAAGCACCGGCUAACUACGUGCCAGCAGCCGCGGUAAUACGUAGGGGGCAAGCGUUAUCCGGAUUUACUGGGUGUAAAGGGAGCGUAGACGGUGCGCCAAGUCUGGAGUGAAAUGCCGCAGCUUAACUGAGGAACUGCUUUGGAAACUGGCGAACUAGAGUGCGGGAGGGGUAAGCGGAAUUCCUAGUGUAGCGGUGAAAUGCGUAGAUAUUAGGAGGAACACCGGUGGCGAAGGCGGCUUACUGGACCGUAACUGACGUUGAGGCUCGAAAGCGUGGGGAGCAAACAGGAUUAGAUACCCGAGUAGUC
rnacentral:rRNA from 1 species